rnacentral:rRNA from 1 species
UUGCGAGUGAACGGAGAUUAGCCCAUCCCCUGAAGUCUAUCCGCGUUUGUGGAACAGGACAAUGUGGUGUUUAGGCGUGCAUCUGGGAGCGCUUGCCUACCCGAAGUCCACCUCUGAUUUUGGCUUGGACAUUGCCCUGAGCGGGUGAAAGGCCCGUGCGGGUAGGCAUUGAUUGCAAUAAGCGAUCCUCAGAUAUGCAUGCUGUCGAGUCGGAUUGCUUGAGAAUGCAGUCCAAAGUGGGUGGUAAACUCCAUCCAAGGCUAAAUACUGGCACGAGUCCGAUAGUAGACAAGUACCGUGAGGGAAAGUUGAAAAGUACUCUGAAGAGAGAGUAAAUAGCACGUGAAGCCGCUUGCAGGGAAGCUGGUGGAGUCAAGCUUCAUGCCUGGAGGAUUGUCAUCAGAGGAUUGUUGUCUCGGGACGUGGCGUUGGCUAACCUGGAAACGGUUUGAUGCACUCAGCCUGCAUUUCAAGUCGCUCUGGGUAGAGUGUUUGUGCUGGCGCCUAUUCUCCUACCCUUCCUGGUGUUUUAUCCCCCGUGGCAUACAUCACGGUCAAUAAU